rnacentral:rRNA from 1 species
AUUGAACGCUGGCGGAAUGCUUUACACAUGCAAGUCGAACGGCAGCACGGGGGCAACCCUGGUGGCGAGUGGCGAACGGGUGAGUAAUACAUCGGAACGUGCCCAGUCGUGGGGGAUAACGUAGCGAAAGUUACGCUAAUACCGCAUACGAUCUACGGAUGAAAGCGGGGGACCGUAAGGCCUCGCGCGAUUGGAGCGGCCGAUGUCAGAUUAGGUAGUUGGUGAGGUAAAGGCGUACCAAGCCGACGAUCUAUAGCUGGUCUGAGAGGACGACCAGCCACACUGGGACUGAGACACGGCCCAGACUCCUACGGGAGGCAGCAGUGGGGAAUUUUGGACAAUGGGCGCAAGCCUGAUCCAGCCAUUCCGCGUGCAGGACGAAGGCCUUCGGGUUGUAAACUGCUUUUGUACGGAACGAAAAGGCUCUGGUUAAUACCUGGGGCUCAUGACGGUACCGUAAGAAUAAGCACCGGCUAACUACGUGCCAGCCGCCGCCGUAA